rnacentral:rRNA from 1 species
AUUGAACGCUGGCGGCAUGCCUAACACAUGCAAGUCGAACGGCAGCACAGUAAAGACUUCGGUCUUUAUGGGUGGCGAGUGGCGGACGGGUGAGUAACGCGUAGGAAUCUGUCCUGGAGAGUGGGAUAACCCGAGGAAACUCGGGCUAAUACCGCAUGAUAUCGAGAGAGCAAAAGCAGGGGACCCUUCGGGGCCUUGCGCUCUAGGAUGAGCCUACGUCGGAUUAGCUAGUUGGUGGGGUAAAGGCCUACCAAGGCGACGAUCCGUAGCUGGUCUGAGGGGAUGACCAGCCACACUGGGACUGAGACACGGCCCAGACUCCUACGGGAGGCAGCAGUGGGGAAUCUUGGACAAUGGGGGAAACCCUGAUCCAGCGAUGCCGCGUGUGUGAAGAAGGCCUUCGGGUUGUAAAGCACUUUAGUUGGGGAAGAAAAGUAAUGAGUGAAUAACUGAUUGCUCUGACGGUACCCAAAGAAUAAGCACCGGCUAACUCUGUGCCAGCAGCCGCCGUAA